UGGCUCAGAACGAACGCUGGCGGCAGGCCUAACACAUGCAAGUCGAGCGCCCCGCAAGGGGAGCGGCAGACGGGAGAGUAACACGUGGGAACGUGCCCUUCAGUUCGGAACAACCCAGGGAAACUUGGGCUGAUACCGGAUACGUCCGUAAGGAGAAAGAUUUAUCGCUGAAGGAUCGGCCCGCGUCUGAUUAGCUAGUUGGUGGGGUAACGGCCCACCAAGGCGAGCGAUCAGUAGCUGGUCUGAGAGGAUGAUCAGCCUCACUGGGACUGAGACACGGCCCAGAAUCCUACGGGAGGCAGCAGUGGG
rnacentral:rRNA from 2 species